UCGGACGUCCUACUCUAUGGUCCGAAAUCGAGCCGCGGUGCAGGGAAGCUGGUGCGAGUCCAGCGCGGUCCCGCCACUGUGACCGGGUGCAGCCCCGGGAGUCAGACACCGGCCGUGGCCGUCACGUGUUG
rnacentral:ncRNA from 2 species